rnacentral:rRNA from 1 species
UACAGAGGGGGCGAGCGUUAUUCGGAAUUACUGGGCGUAAAGGGCGCGUAGGCGGCCUGCUAAGUCGAACGUGAAAUCCCCGGGCUCAACCCGGGAACUGCGUCCGAUACUGACAGGCUUGAAUCCGGGAGAGGGAUGUGGAAUUCCAGGUGUAGCGGUGAAAUGCGUAGAUAUCUGAAGGAACAUCGGUGGCGAAGGCGGCAUCCUGGACCGGUAUUGACGCUGAGGCGCGAAAGCCAGGGGAGCAAACGGG